CCGCCGGCCGGGCACCGGGAGCCGGGCGCCGGAGCCGCCCCGCCGAGCCGAGCGCGCAGCCCCGACCGCUUCCCGAAAGCAAAAGGGAAGAGCCGCAGCGCCCGCCCGCCCGCGCCUCCCAUCCGGCGCUCUGCCAGCAACAAACACAAACUUUCCCAAGCCCCUCCCCGCUCCAGUUGGCCUUGGAAGGACUCCGCUGGAAGCCCCAUCGCUGCAGCUCUCUUCCCCGACAGCCCGCGUCCCGCCACUCUGGACGCACCCACGCGUGUCUGCUGUUCCCUCAGCUGCCUCCCACUCACCCCCACCCCCACCACCGCUCGUCUCCAGCCCAGCACCCCACCGACAAGCCGCUGGGCUCUUGCCAAACAUUGUUCAGGUGUGUGGUUAGCCAGGUAUGGACCUUCCCAAAAGGACUCUUAAAGGAGCGCCUGGGUGGCUCAGUGGGUUAAGCGUCCCACUCUUGAUUUCGGAUCCAGCCUUUUGGGGCUGACAGGGCGGACAGAGCUUGCUUGGGAUUCUGUCUCCCUCCCUCCUUCUGCACCCCCCCCCCCACUCCUGCAUGCGUGUGCAUGCAUGCUCUCUCUCUCUCAAAAUAUAUAAAUCAACAUUAAAAAAAAUUCAUCCCAGGUGGCACAACAAUAUGAAUGUCUUAAUGCCACCGAACUGUAUACUUAAACACGGUUAAAAUGGUAAAUCCUAGUUUAACACAAUAAAGAAAACAUUUUUAUUUCAUUUUUGCCACCGAGGUGCUCUUCGUUCUGUUCACCCACCCUGAAAUCCCUUUCCACUUGCCAUCCCAUGGAACCCUCUAGAAUUUCUCUGGGAAGUUUUUGAAUUUAAUUCAAUCCACCUUAAAUGCACGCCUGAUGUUAGGCCUUGGGAGAUGCUGGAACCACAGAGAAGAGGAAGGCUGGGCCCCUCCAGAAGCUGGGAUCUUUUCCUUUCUUAACCCCACCACAGCGCUUAAUGUCUGGACCACAUGUCUUGGCACUUGGUCACAUUCAAGUGAGCACGUGCUAUGGACUGAAUGGUUGUAUCUACCCCGCCCCCACCCGCCACAAAUUUAUGCAUUAAAGCCCUAAUCCCAAAAGGUAUUUGGAGGUGGGGCUUUUAGGGGGUAAUUAGGUCCUGAGGAUGGGAUGGGGCCCUCAUGAAUGGAAUCAGUGCCCUUAUAAGAAGAUCUCUGCACCAUGUAAAGAGACAGCAAGAUGAUAUCUGUCUGCAAACCAGGAAGAAGGCCCUCACUAGGAACUAAACCAUCUAGCAGCUUGAUCUUGGUCUUAAAGCCUCCAGAACUAUGAUAAAUAAGUGUUUUUUUGUUUAAGCUACCUAGUCUAUGGCAUUUGCCAUAGCAGCUUGAGCCGACUAAAAUGGUACAACAUG